rnacentral:rRNA from 1 species
GGCCUUUUGAAUAUAAUUUUAGGUCUGGCCUGCCCACUGAGAAUUUCUUGAAGGGCCGCGGUAUCUUGACCGUGCUAAGGUAGCAUAAUAAUUAGUUUUUUAAUUGAAAGCUGGAAUGAAUGGUCGGAUAAGAAGAUAGCUGUCUCUGAUUAAUUUAAAUUGAAUUUUAUUUUUAAGUCAAAAAGCUUAGAUAAUUUUAAAAGACGAGAAGACCCUAUAGAGUUUGAUAAAUUAGUAUUUUUAAAUUUUUGGUAUUUUAAAUUUAAAGAUAAAGGUUUAUUUGAUUGGGGUGAUUGAAAAAUUUAAUAAACUUUUUUUGAAUAAAGCCAUAAAUUUAUGAUUAUUUGAUCCAAUUAUUUUGAUUAAAAGAUUAAAUUACCUUAGGGAUAACAGCGUAAUUUUUAUUUAGAGUUCAAAUUGAAAUAAAAGAUUGCGACCUCGAUGUUGGAUUAAAAUUAAUUUUUGGUGCAGAAGCUUAAAGUUUAGGUCUGUUCGACCUUUAAAAUUU